GGUGGUUCCUGGACUGACCUCUGCCGGCGCAUAAGCUCCACAGUUUCACUGUUCCGCCUGGGCUGCGGGCUGCGGGGCUGGUUGGUGGAGUUGGCUUAGAGAAGGGUGAGACAAAGUCCUCUAAACCAAGAAGCAACGGAGGAAAGUCAGUGACUUCCAGGACCAGGAACUCGGUGGCAGAACCUUGGGAUAGAAUGCAGGCAAGAGUGUGGAAAUAGGACCCACUGCUCAAUUCCCUGCCUCUCCUCUCUCAAGGAUUGCCAGGGGUCGCCAUGAAGAGCUGGGUAUAAAGAUGGAAGCAGAAGCAGCCAGAGCUACAGAUACUCCACAGGUAUAUAUCCUGUAAACACAUGUGAAAACUCUGGAUUCUACCUGCCUGGACUGGCUCAGGAGCAGGCCUAUAGACACCAAGGUGAACAAGGCAGUUGUGGUCUCCACGCCUCCCGAACGGAGCAUACCAGGGGAAGCAAUAACAAGGGAGUUUCAGGAAGAUUGUUCAGCAGCUACUUUUGAGAAAUGAGUGGCAGUCCUAUUGUGAGUAAGGGGUUUACAGGACAAGGCCCCAGACAGAACAAAGAAAACACUCCCACCAACUCUCUUGCCAGAAAUGAGCUGAAAUUUUCGGAGAGGUGCGUGAGCCAAAAUUCUCAGGGAGAAGUCCCAGAAGACUGUCCAUCAGGUAACAAAGUGGGUCCACCAAUCAUUGGUGGGAGUGAGCCUACCUUUCCGAGAGAGUGGCUCCAUCCAUGGAUAGAAAGAAUUCACCAAAGCUGGGAACCAAGCAUGGCCUGCCAUGUAUCACCUACAUGUGUUUUGGGGGACAGAGAAGGAGCCAAGAAAACAAAACAGAAAUAACUACAGCUAUUUUCUCAAGACUUGCUUCUCAUCACCUCUCACACUCCUCAGGAG
ensembl:lncRNA